rnacentral:rRNA from 1 species
CGGGGUGAGUAAUGUAUGGGGGUCUGCCUGAUGGCGGGGGGAUAACUACUGGAAACGGUAGCUAAUACCGCAUAAUGUCUGCGGACCAAAGCGGGGGACCUCCGGGCCUCGCGCCAUCAGAUGAACCCAUAUGGGAUUAGCUUGUAGGUAAGGUAACGGCUUACCUAGGCGACGAUCCCUAGCUGGUCUGAGAGGAUGAUCAGCCACACUGGGACUGAGACACGGCCCAG